AACGAACGCUGGCGGCAGGCCUAACACAUGCAAGUCGAGCGCCCCGCAAGGGGAGCGGCGGACGGGUGAGUAACGCGUGGGAACGUGCCUCUUGCUAUGGAAUAGCCUCGGGAAACUGGGAGUAAUACCGUAUGUGCCCUACGGGGGAAAGAUUUAUCGGCAAGAGAUCGGCCCGCGUUGGAUUAGGUAGUUGGUGGGGUAAUGGCCUACCAAGCCGACGAUCCAUAGCUGGUUUGAGAGGAUGAUCAGCCACACUGGGACUGAGACACGGCCCAGACUCCUACGGGAGGCAGCAGUGGGGAAUCUUAGACAAUGGGCGCAAGCCUGAUCUAGCCAUGCCGCGUGAGCGAUGAAGGCCUUAGGGUUGUAAAGCUCUUUCAGUGGGGAAGAUAAUGACUGUACCCACAGAAGAAGCCCCGGCUAACUCCGUGCCAGCAGCCGCGGAAU
rnacentral:rRNA from 1 species